ensembl:processed_transcript T2 brachyury 2
GGUGUUCACAGCAAGGACCAUCCAGGGAGAGAACAGGAAGUUGUGGAGGAUGGCCCGGAGAAGGAGAGGAUAAAACAGGGCCCGCACCAACCUGGCUUGGAUCCACCCAAGCAUCGAGGGGACACAGCGAGUCUUCUCGCUCGGCUCACGGAAUGGAGAAAAAGAUGCCAACAGCAUGGAGCUGCCCAGAGGCUGCAUCGAGGACCUGAGGAGAGCAAGACUAUGUGUAAGACAAGGACGGAUUCCCAAAGCAAGAUGUAUCUUAGCCGGUUGUAUCGGAUGUAUUCCACCUCCCUUGCUAACAUGGAAUUCUCCAGAAAACUGCUGGAAAGAGAUGGCCGCUUUGCAGACAUGGAUGCUGAGCACAGGGCCCGAAGCCUGCUGGAUUACAUGGUCCCAAGAGAACGUACACAGGCAGAUGUUCCACCAAGAGAACGUACACAGGCAGAUGUUCCACCAAGGGAACUAGAGGAGGAGGACUCCCCAACCCCUGAGCAGCAGCCUCAAGCAGGACCUGCCCUCCGAUUUCUGAAGUGCCAGAGCCCAGAAAGUCCACAGAGACGUCCCCACCUGAAGACAGGAAGACACCAAGUGACCCUGUGUGGCACGAGCAAGCUCUCCGAACACGAGAGGGGCACACUUGCUCCUGCCAGGAGGACCACAGAUCCCAGACCUACAGCACCCCUGACCCUUGCACACGUGAUCCAGACCCAUCCUGUGGUGGAGGCCAAGACAGCAAGUCGAUACUGGGUGAACAAUGUGGAUGAAGAAUAAGUUUUUUUUUUGUCUUUUUUUUUUUUAAACAGUCAUUAGAUAAAGUCCAAACAGGAUAUGACAGCUUUCUUUUUCUUUGAGUCUGCAUUAUGAUAAGCAGCGAGGUGACACCAUCAUGCAGAGCCCGAACCGUGAAUUUGGAUGAUGGAGACAGUCAGGCAGGCAGCACAGUGGGCAGCAGCGCUGAGCAGACUCAGACAUGAGGCUCCAGCCCAUGGCUAGUCACUUCUUCUGACUCAUGGUCCUUCUGCCUGGUGCUCUCUUUGCAGCAUCUUAAAUAAAAUAAGCUUGUUUUCUUUCUUAAAA